rnacentral:rRNA from 1 species
CAAGUUUUCCGUAGGUGAACCUGCGGAAGAUCAUUAUUGAAUACACACAGGAUUGUUGCUGGCUAGAUUCAUUUCUAGCAUCGUGCACAUCUAUCUUCCACACACACACUUGUGAACUUACUGUAGAUCGCAAGAUCUAUGUCUUUAAUUCAUCACAUAUCCAUCGUAUGUCUACAGAAUGUUACAAAUAUAAUACAACUUUCAGCAAUGGAUCUCUUGGUUCUCGCAUCGAUGAAGAACGCAGCGAAUUGCGAUACGUAAUGUGAAUUGCAGAUUUUCAGUGAAUCAUCGAAUCUUUGAACGCACCUUGCGCCCCUUGGUAUUCCGAGGGGCAUGCCUGUUUGAGUGUCAUUUAAUUAUCAACCAUUUAGUCUUUGAUUAGACUUUUUUUUGGAUUGGAGUUGGGAAUUGCUGGUCUUAACAAAAGGAUCAGCUGUCCUUAAAUGCAGUAGCAAGUGAAAGUGAUUUUACGUGGCACGGCCUUUGACGUGAUAAUGAUCGUUGUGGGCUGGAAGCGUUUAAUAAAGCUAGUAGUUUGCUUUAAUUAUAUAACGAGUGAAUUUCUAUGUGCAUACGGCUGGAAAGCAUUAGUAAUGGAAGCUUGAGCGGAAAGUAAGCUAUGUUGUAAAAGGCAUAGUAAAUGUGGAAGCUUGAGUGAAAGUGAGAAUGUGUAGUAGGCUGGAAGGCAUAGCAUUGAAGCUAGUUAAACAAGGAAUUGAAAAAUAACCUGUGGAAUAUUUCUAUGUGCAUAGCAUAGUUAUUGAGAAACUAGUGAAAAAGUAAAUUCCGACUUGAAAGUUGACCUCAAAUCAGUAGACUACCCGCUGAUC